AGGAACCUGCCUCAAAGAGGGGGACAACAGUUGGAAACGACUGCUAAUACCGCAUAAGCCCACGGGUCGGCAUCGACCAGAGGGAAAAGGAGCAAUCCGCUUUGAGAUGGCCUCGCGUCCGAUUAGCUAGUUGGUGAGGUAAUGGCCCACCAAGGCGACGAUCGGUAGCCGGACUGAGAGGUUGAACGGCCACAUUGGGACUGAGACACGGCCCAGACUCCUACGGGAGGCAGCAGUGGGGAAUAUUGCACAAUGGGGGAAACCCUGAUGCAGCGACGCCGCGUGGAGGAAGAAGGUCUUCGGAUUGUAAACUCCUGUUGUUGGGGAAGAUAAUGACGGUACCCAACAAGGAAGUGACGGCUAACUACGUGCCAGCAGCCGUGGUAAAACGUAGGUCACAAGCGUUGUCCGGAAUUACUGGGUGUAAAGGGAGCGCAGGCGGGAAGACAAGUUGGAAGUGAAAUCUAUGGGCUCAACCCAUAAACUGCUUUCAAAACUGUUUUUCUUGAGUAGUGCAGAGGUAGGCGGAAUUCCCGGUGUAGCGGUGGAAUGCGUAGAUAUCGGGAGGAACACCAGUGGCGAAGGCGGCCUACUGGGCACCAACUGACGCUGAGGCUCGAAAGUGUGGGUAGCAAACAGGAUUAGAUACCCUGGUAGUCCACACCGUAAACGAUGAUUACUAGGUGU
rnacentral:rRNA from 1 species